rnacentral:rRNA from 1 species
UGCAUCGAUGAAGAACGUAGCGAAAUGCGAUACGUAGUGUGAAUUGCAGAAUUCCGCGAAUCAUCGAGUCUUUGAACGCAAGUUGCGCCCGAGGCUUGUCCGAGGGCAUUUCCGCUAGAGCGUCACCGCGCCCCCCACCGAUCCGCUCCCGCCGCGAGGCGCCAGUCGGGUCGAGUGGAAGUGGCCGUCCCGGCGAAGUGGCCUUCUUUCACGAGGAGGCCGUCCUUGGAAGGGUCGGCUGAAAUGGAUGGAAUCGGGCCGCCGUGGUGACACAGUCCGCGAUCGGGUGAUUUUGUCGCGAGCCUCCUGCGCUGCGGGAGGCUCUUGGUGAAUUUUUCUAAGUGCUUGGCUGCGUCCCCCAGUUGGCUCGGGUUACCUCAUGCAGGUCGAGCGCGCCCCCGCGGCGCGCGUCACGCAUCAGACCUCUAAUCG